GGGGCUGUAGCUCAGUGGUAGAACACCUGCGUUGCACGCAGAAGGUCCCAGCUUCGAUCCCCGAUUGCAUUUCCA